GCUCAGGACGAACGCUGGCGGCGUGCCUAAUACAUGCAAGUCGAACGAACUCUGGUAUUGAUUGGUGCUUGCAUCAUGAUUUACAUUUGAGUGAGUGGCGAACUGGUGAGUAACACGUGGGAAACCUGCCCAGAAGCGGGGGAUAACACCUGGAAACAGAUGCUAAUACCGCAUAACAACUUGGACCGCAUGGUCCGAGYUUGAAAGAUGGCUUCGGCUAUCACUUUUGGAUGGUCCCGCGGCGUAUUAGCUAGAUGGUGGGGUAACGGCUCACCAUGGCAAUGAUACGUAGCCGACCUGAGAGGGUAAUCGGCCACAUUGGGACUGAGACACGGCCCAAACUCCUACGGGAGGCAGCAGUAGGGAAUCUUCCACAAUGGACGAAAGUCUGAUGGAGCAACGCCGCGUGAGUGAAGAAGGGUUUCGGCUCGUAAAACUCUGUUGUUAAAGAAGAACAUAUCUGAGAGUAACUGUUCAGGUAUUGACGGUAUUUAACCAGAAAGCCACGGCUAACUACGUGCCAGCAGCCGCGGUAAUACGUAGGUGGCAAGCGUUGUCCGGAUUUAUUGGGCGUAAAGCGAGCGCAGGCGGUUUUUUAAGUCUGAUGUGAAAGCCUUCGGCUCAACCGAAGAAGUGCAUCGGAAACUGGGAAACUUGAGUGCAGAAGAGGACAGUGGAACUCCAUGUGUAGCGGUGAAAUGCGUAGAUAUAUGGAAGAACACCAGUGGCGAAGGCGGCUGUCUGGUCUGUAACUGACGCUGAGGCUCGAAAGUAUGGGUAGCAAACAGGAUUAGAUACCCUGGUAGUCCAUACCGUAAACGAUGAAUGCUAAGUGUUGGAGGGUUUCCGCCCUUCAGUGCUGCAGCUAACGCAUUAAGCAUUCCGCCUGGGGAGUACGGCCGCAAGGCUGAAACUCAAAGGAAUUGACGGGGGCCCGCACAAGCGGUGGAGCAUGUGGUUUAAUUCGAAGCUACGCGAAGAACCUUACCAGGUCUUGACAUACUAUGCAAAUCUAAGAGAUUAGACGUUCCCUUCGGGGACAUGGAUACAGGUGGUGCAUGGUUGUCGUCAGCUCGUGUCGUGAGAUGUUGGGUUAAGUCCCGCAACGAGCGCAACCCUUAUUAUCAGUUGCCAGCAUUAAGUUGGGCACUCUGGUGAGACUGCCGGUGACAAACCGGAGGAAGGUGGGGAUGACGUCAAAUCAUCAUGCCCCUUAUGACCUGGGCUACACACGUGCUACAAUGGAUGGUACAACGAGUUGCGAACUCGCGAGAGUAAGCUAAUCUCUUAAAGCCAUUCUCAGUUCGGAUUGUAGGCUGCAACUCGCCUACAUGAAGUCGGAAUCGCUAGUAAUCGCGGAUCAGCAUGCCGCGGUGAAUACGUUCCCGGGCCUUGUACACACCGCCCGUCACACCAUGAGAGUUUGUAACACCCAAAGUCGGUGGGGUAACCUUUUAGGAACCAGCCGCCUAAGGUGGGACAGAUGAUUAGGGUGAAGUCGUA
rnacentral:rRNA from 2 species